AUGAACGCUGGCGGCGUGCCUAAUACAUGCAAGUCGAGCGAACAGACGAGGAGCUUGCUCCUCUGACGUUAGCGGCGGACGGGUGAGUAACACGUGGAUAACCUACCUAUAAGACUGGGAUAACUUCGGGAAACCGGAGCUAAUACCGGAUAAUAUAUUGAACCGCAUGGUUCAAUAGUGAAAGACGGUUUUGCUGUCACGUAUAGAUGGAUCCGCGCCGCAUUAGCUAGUUGGUAAGGUAACGGCUUACCAAGGCAACGAUGCGUAGCCGACCUGAGAGGGUGAUCGGCCACACUGGAACUGAGACACGGUCCAGACUCCUACGGGAGGCAGCAGUAGGGAAUCUUCCGCAAUGGGCGAAAGCUUGACGGAGCAACGCCGCGUGAGUGAUGAAGGUCUUCGGAUCGUAAAACUCUGUUAUUAGGGAAGAACAAAUGUGUAAGUAACUAUGCACGUCUUGACGGUACCUAAUCAGAAAGCCACGGCUAACUACGUG
rnacentral:rRNA from 1 species